GGAUGCGAUCAUACCAGCACUAAAGCACCGGAUCCCAUCAGAACUCCGAAGUUAAGCGUGCUUGGGCGAGGGUAGUACUAGGAUGGGUGACCUCCUGGGAGAAGUCCUCGUGUUGCAUUCC
rnacentral:rRNA from 1 species